rnacentral:rRNA from 1 species
CUUAACGUAUAGGCCGCCGAAAAUACUGGACAGCUAGGGAGUGGGAGAGGUACACGGUACUCAAUAGGAAGGGGUAAAAUCCUUUGAUCUAUUGAUGACCACCUGUGGCGAAGGCGGUGUACCAGAACACGUUCGACGGUGAGGGAUGAAAGCUGGGGGAGCAAACCGGAUUAGAUACCCGGGUAGUCCCAGCUGUAAACGAUGCAGACUCGGUGAUGCAUUGGCUUGUGGCCAAUGCAGUGCCGCAGGGAAGCCGUUAAGUCUGCCGCCUGGGAAGUACGUACGCAAGUAUGAAACUUAAAGGAAUUGGCGGGGGAGCACCACAAGGGGUGAAGCCUGCGGUUCAAUUGGAGUCAACGCCAGAAACCUUACCCGGGGCGACAGCAGAAUGAAGGUCAAGCUGAAGACUUUACCAGACAAGCUGAGAGGUGGUGCAUGGCCGUCGCCAGCUCGUGCCGUGAGAUGUCCUGUUAAGUCAGGUAACGAGCGAGACCCCUGCGUCUAGUUGCUACCAUUACUCUCUGGAGUAGUGGAGCGAAUUAGACGGACCGCCACAGUUAAUGUGGAGGAAGGAAGGGGCCACGGCAGGUCAGUAUGCCCCGAAACCCUGGGGCCACACGCGGGCUGCAAUGGUAUUGACAAUGUGUUCCGAAUCUGAAAGGAG